ACCUGCGGAGGAUCAUUAUUGAAUUAAACCUGAUGAGUUGUUGCUGGUUCUCUAGGGAACAUGUGCACGCUUAUCAUCUUUAUAUCUCCACCUGUGCACCUUUUGUAGACCUGGAUAUCUCUCUGAAUGCUAGCCAUUCAGGAUUGAGGAUUGACUUUCAUGUCUUUCCUUACAUUUUCAGGCCUAUGUUUCUUCAUAUACCCAAUGUAUGUCAUAGAAUGUAAUUAAUGGGCCUUUGUGCCUAUAAACCUAUACAACUUUCAGCAACGGAUCUCUUGGCUCUCGCAUCGAUGAAGAACGCAGCGAAAUGCGAUAAGUAAUGUGAAUUGCAGAAUUCAGUGAAUCAUCGAAUCUUUGAACGCACCUUGCGCUCCUUGGUAUUCCGAGGAGCAUGCCUGUUUGAGUGUCAUUAAUAUAUCAACCUCUUCAGCUUUUGUUUGUUGAGUGUUGGAUGUGGGGGGUAUUUUUUGCUGGUCUACAAAAGGUCAGCUCCCCUAAAAUGUAUUAGCGGAACAAUAUGUUUACCGUUCAUUGGUGUGAUAACUAUCUACGCUAUUGACGUGAAAGCAGUUCAGCUUC
rnacentral:rRNA from 1 species